rnacentral:lncRNA from 10 species
AGCCUGGGCGACAGAGUGAGACUCUGUCUCAAAAAAAAAAAAAAAAAAAGAAAGAAAAAGAAAAUGAGAUAACUUACUUCCUCAAUUUUCCCCCUCCCAGCAACCCUCAAAUUUCUAUUUUAAUUGAUUUAAAAUUACUAUCUAGUGUAUUAGUAAAUUUUUUCACACUUCGUUAGUGAAAAAAAAAAGAAUUUUAAAAAACCAACCUGAAAUAUUAGACUUUUUACCUGUAACUGGGUCUGAACAAUCUAGUUCUCAUAAAGCAGAAAAAACCGAAACUUGUGGAAGCAAGCAGCUUAUUAUCAUGAAGAAGACUUCAGCCUUCCAGUUUCUGGAUGAAACUAGGGGCAGUAAUAUUAGAAACCCGAGUGGACCCUUUGCCUGAGAAACAUGUUCAUCUCUUAGUAAUUUGGACUAGAGAGCAUGCAAAAUAUGCAUCAAUAUAAAAUCAACUAACACAGAUUCCAGGGUCACAAGCCCAAAUAACAGUAAGAUCUGUAAAUAUCAAGGAAAACGUAGAUUUAAAAUUUCAGAUCAGAUUCAUUCCUCCACUCACAGCUUAUACAUAUUGUGGUCAGAAGCUGGAAGUAAGCCUAUGCUCUAAUUAACUCUGCUCUGGGAGGCGAGGCUCUCACGAGAGAGAGGAGAGAGAUGGGGGUGGGGGGUGGAGAGGAUUGGGAGCACUUCAGAGAAAAGAUCUGAGAGAAAAGCCUGGGACUCUGCCACCCAGCUCCCUGGCCCCUGGGAGAAGCCAUGGCAGAUAUUUGGGAUGAGGCAGCAUGCUGGUCCCUCAGCAGCAUCCUUAUCACGUCAGCUGUGAGAGAAAUAAAACUGUGAGACUGUGAAGUGUAUAAAGGAUUCUACCGCUCUCCCGGGGCUUGGAGACCCACAGAUUGGAGAAAUCUCCAUCUCAAUCUUCUUUGCCACGUCAUGCAUGCCCUUGAAGCAUUAGAAUUCCUUAAAGCUUCAUGGGAGAAUGCCAUGGGAUGAUGAAGACAGAGAUUGGAGUCAUGCAUCUGCAAGCCAAGAAAUGUACAAGAUUGCUGGCAAACCACCAGAAGCUAGGAGCAGACAAGGAAGGAUCCUCCCCUAAAGGUUUCAGAGGGAGCCAUGGCCUUGCUGACAUCUUGAUUUCAGACUUCUAUCCUCCAGAAUGGGGCCAUCCAUGGAGGGCUGGAUGGUGUCCUCACUCUCCCAUCACACAGCUCUUCUGAUGAUGUUUUUGCUUGUCUUUCUGGAAGUUCGCUCUGAUCCAAAAUUACAUCUGCAAGGGGCAGCUGAAGUCCAUCAGUUCUGUGAAGUCUUCUGGGAGUUGCCUCAGCCUAGAGAUCUCUUCCUCCAUUUCUCCAAAUAUUUCAGUUAGCUCUAAAUGAACAAUUAGCAUCUCCUAAUUGUGCAACUAUUUAAUUUUGGUUUCCUCAACCAAGGAGUUAAUCCCUUUCUGAGGGCAGGUACUGUCAACUUCUUUUGAUUUUUCUACACUGCAUGUGGCCAUCCCAGAUAACUCACUAACAAUAAAUUCUUGAUGACAUGACUCUACAUGGUAAGACGGCACUACUCACUUGCCAAGAGCCAAACAGAUAUUUUGGAAUCAUUUCCCAGAUAGUGAUAAAAAAUGGGCACAGACCAUUUGUAAUCUUUCAUCCCAUCUUCCUUUUGACUAGUGUCAUCCCUGUAAACCAUGAGUGAUCAGGAUUACAUCUCUACAUUCAGCAGGAGUAGAAUAGAAUUUCCAUUUGCACACAAAACUGACUCACUGAGAGCAAUUUAGUGAUCUCAGUAGAUGGGCCUGCUGCAUGGAAAGGCAGCCAACAGAUGGGGAGUGUCCCUAUCUUAGCCAGAGGAGGGGAAAGUAUGGGAUUCAAUCUGUUUCUUUAAAAGCUGAAGGAUAAACUGAAGAUGAUGUUCAUAAAAACUGUAUUUCCAUUGUUAAGGAGAAAAAUAGAUAGGUAAGCUCAGCCCUCUUUUGAUAAAAGUUGAACAGAGAGGUGAAAAAGGGAAUCCAUUUGUUUAUGCACUUAUCCUAAAGAGAACAUUGAAAGUCAAGGGGGUAUGUCCAGUGGUUUGCAAAGUGGUGUCUCCAGGGGACAUUUACAGUCAAUGUCAUCUACAGAAAGUUGCUGUCUUUGCUAUAGUGAAGGGCAAAUCAUCUCCCAAUUGCGCUGCUUUUCAAGAUUCCAUGAGGAGCUCUACUCUUGAAAAUUUCUGAAUCAAAAUAGAAUCUUAAGGAGUCUAAUUCUAAAUACAAACUUCAUGUGUAAGAUUCUCGCCAUGGCUGUAUGGCAGGUUUUUAAAGAAAGUAUGAGAAUGGUGUAUUUUAUCCAAGUGCUUGUUGCUGUUUUGCUCACUGGUGUCCUAAGCACCUAGAAAAGUCCUUGGCAGUUUUUAGGUGCACAAUAAGUAUUUAAUUUUAUUAUUCCUAAAUUAUUGGUUCGAUGAUUGGGUGUAUACAAGUGCAUAUGUGGAUAUGUGCAUUUGAAUGGAGAGAAAGAAAAAGUACAUGCUUACUCUCUGUGCUAUAAUGUCUCAAAUAUUAAAUCAUGACAUAUGAUAAUAAUGGUCAUUUUUAAGUUACAAAGUUCUUUCACCAUUCAUUCAUUCAGUUGUUAUUUAUUGGGUGCCAAAUUAUGUACCAGGCAGUGUGGUGGGAUACCAGGGAUACAGACAUGCGCCUGCCUGUAUAUGUUUACAAAUCUAGGUGGAAAAAAUAGGUAAAUAAAUA